rnacentral:misc_RNA from 1 species
GAAAUGCGAUUAGUAAUGUGAAUCGCAGAAUUCAGUGAAUCAUCGAAUCUUUGAACGCACCUUGCGCUCCUUGGUAUUCCUUGGAGCAUGCCUGUUUGAGUAUCAUGAAAUCUUCAAAGUAAAUCUUUUGUUAACUCAAUUGGUUUCUACUUUGGUAUUGGAGGUCUUUGCAGCUUCACACCUGCUCCUCUUUGUUCAUUAGCUGGAUCUCAGUGUUAUGCUUGGUUCCACUCGGCGUGAUAAGUUAUCUAUCGCUGAGGACACUGUAAAAGGUGGCCAAGGUAAAUUCAGAUGAACCGCUUCUAAUAGUCCAUUGACUUGGACAAUACUUUUAUGAUCUGAUCUCAAAUCAGGUAGGACUACCCGCUGAACUUAAGC